UAGGGAAUCUUCCACAAUGGACGAAAGUCUGAUGGAGCAACGCCGCGUGAGUGAAGAAGGAUUUCGGUUCGUAAAACUCUGUUGCAAGGGAAGAACAAGUAGCGUAGUAACUGGCGCUACCUUGACGGUACCUUGUUAGAAAGCCACGGCUAACUACGUGCCAGCAGCCGCGGUAAUACGUAGGUGGCAAGCGUUGUCCGGAAUUAUUGGGCGUAAAGCGCGCGCAGGUGGUUCCUUAAGUCUGAUGUGAAAGCCCCCGGCUCAACCGGGGAGGGUCAUUGGAAACUGGGGAACUUGAGUGCAGAAGAGGAUAGUGGAAUUCCAAGUGUAGCGGUGAAAUGCGUAGAGAUUUGGAGGAACACCAGUGGCGAAGGCGACUGUCUGGUCUGUAACUGACACU
rnacentral:rRNA from 1 species